rnacentral:rRNA from 1 species
CACGUAGUUAGCCGUGUCUUCCUCCUCAGGUACCGUCAUCAUCGUCCCUGAAGACAGAGCUUUACAACCCGAAGGCCGUCAUCACUCACGCGGCGUUGCUGCAUCAGGGUUUCCCCCAUUGUGCAAUAUUCCCCACUGCUGCCUCCCGUAGGAGUCUGGGCCGUGUCUCAGUCCCAAUGUGGCCGAUCACCCUCUCAGGUCGGCUACGCAUCGUCGCCUUGGUGAGCCGUUACCUCACCAACUAGCUAAUGCGCCGCGGGCCCAUCUCAUAGCGGAUUGCUCCUUUAAUUGCUACUUCAUGCGAAGCUACAAUCUUAUGCGGUAUUAAUCUCCCUUUCGGAAGGCUAUUCCCCUCUAUGAGGCAGGUUGCCCACGUGUUACUCACCCGUCCGCCGCUAGCUUUGUUCCGAAGAAACUCCACUCGCUCGACUUGCAUGUGUUAGGCACGCCGCCAGCGUCGUCGUCGUCGUCGACGACGUACGUACGUACUAC